GAGUUUGAUCGUGGCUCAGGACGAACGCUGGCGGCGUGCCUAACACAUGCAAGUCGAACGGACGAGAAGGUGCUUGCACCUUCAAGUUAGUGGCGGACGGGUGAGUAACGCGUGAGCAACCUGCCUCAAAGAGGGGGAUAACGUCUGGAAACGGACGCUAAUACCGCAUGACGUAUCCGGUAGGCAUCUAUUGAAUACCAAAGGAGCAAUCCGCUUUGAGAUGGGCUCGCGUCUGAUUAGCUAGUUGGUGGGU
rnacentral:rRNA from 1 species